GGGAUUGCCCUAGUAACGGCGAGUGAAGCGGCAACAGCUCAAAUUUGAAAUCUGGCUCUUUCAGAGUCCGAGUUGUAAUUUGCAGAGGGCGCUUUGGUGUUGGCAGCGGUCCAAGUUCCUUGGAACAGGACGUCACAGAGGGUGAGAAUCCCGUACGUGGUCGCUAGCCUUCGCCGUGUAAAGCCCCUUCGACGAGUCGAGUUGUUUGGGAAUGCAGCUCUAAAUGGGAGGUAAAUUUCUUCUAAAGCUAAAUACUGGCCAGAGACCGAUAGCGCACAAGUAGAGUGAUCGAAAGAUGAAAAGCACUUUGGAAAGAGAGUCAAAUAGCACGUGAAAUUGUUGAAAGGGAAGCGCUUGCAGCCAGACUUGCCUGUAGUUGCUUAUCCGGACUUUUGUCCGGUGCACUCUUCUGCGGGCAGGCCAGCAUCAGUUUGGGCGGUUGGAUAAAGGUCUCUGUCAUGUACCUCUCUUCGGGGAGAACUUAUAGGGGAGACGACAUGCAACCAGCCUGGACUGAGGUCCGCGCAUCUGCUAGGAUGCUGGCGUAAUGGCUGUAAGCGGCCCGUCUUGAAACACGGACCAAGGAGUCUAACAUCUAUGCGAGUGUUUGGGUGUCAAGCCCAGACGCGUAAUGAAAGUGAACGGAGGUGGGAACCCUUUGGGUGCACCAUCGACCGAUCCUGAUGUCUUCGGAUGGAUUUGAGUAAGAGCAUGGCUGUUGGGACCCGAAAGAUGGUGAACUAUGCUUGAAUAGGGUGAAGCCAGAGGAAACUCUGGUGGAGGCUCGCAGCGGUUCUGACGUGCAAAUCGAUCGUCAAAUUUGGGCAUAGGGGC
rnacentral:rRNA from 1 species